UACGUAGGGGGCAAGCGUUGUCCGGAAUCAUUGGGCGUAAAGCGCGUGUAGGCGGUCCGGUAAGUCCGCUGUGAAAGUCGGGGGCUCAACCCUCGGAUGCCGGUGGAUACUGUCGGGCUUGAGUACGGAAGAGGCGAGUGGAAUUCCUGGUGUAGCGGUGAAAUGCGCAGAUAUCAGGAGGAACACCGGUGGCGAAGGCGGGUCUCUGGGCCGUAACUGACGCUGAGACGCGAAAGCGUGGGGAGCGAACAGG
rnacentral:rRNA from 1 species